rnacentral:rRNA from 1 species
AGAGUUUGAUCCUGGCUCAGGACGAACGCUGGCGGCGUGCUUAACACAUGCAAGUCGAGCGCAUUCAGAGGUCGGUCAUCAGAGGUCAGAAGUUAGCUAUUGUCUUUUGGUUUCAAGCUGACAGGGGUUGUGGAGUUUAGCUGUUUAAUUUAAUUUCUUUUUGCGGAUGAAGGUUUGGCAAGAUCUUUUUCUGGCUUCUGACGACCGACUUCUGAGGUGAGCGGCGGACGGGUGAGUAACGCGUGGGUGACCUGCCUGGGAGACCGGGAUAACAGUUCGAAAGGGCUGCUAAUACCGGAUGAUAUCGUUUUAUUAGGGUAAAACGAUCAAAGCGUUUAGCGCUCUCGGAUGGGCCCGCGUCCCAUUAGUUAGUUGGUAGGGUAAUGGCCUACCAAGGCUGCGAUGGGUAGCCGGUCUGAGAGGAUGGUCGGCCACACUGGGACUGAGACACGGCCCAGACUCCUACGGGAGGCAGCAGUGGGGAAUUUUGCGCAAUGGGGGGAACCUUGACGCAGCGACGCCGCGUGGGUGAUGAAGGCCUUCGGGUUGUAAAGCUCUGUCCUAUGGGACGAUAAUGACGGUACCAUAGGAGGAAGCCCCGGCUAACUACGUGCCAGCAGCCGCGGUAAUAC